rnacentral:rRNA from 1 species
GCUUGCACUAAAUAGAACUAGAUACAAGCGAGCGGCGGACGGGUGAGUAACACGUGGGUAACCGUGCCCAAGAGACUGGGAUAACACCUAGGAACAGAUGCUAAUACCGGAUAACAACACUAGACGCAUGUCUAGAGUUUGAAAGAUGGUUCUGCUAUCACUCUUGGAUGGACCUGCGGUGCAUUAGCUAGUUGGUAAGGUAACGGCUUACCAAGGCAAUGAUGCAUAGCCGAGUUGAGAGACUGAUCGGCCACAUUGGGACUGAGACACGGCCCAAACUCCUACGGGAGGCAGCAGUAGGGAAUCUUCCACAAUGGACGAAAGUCUGAUGGAGCAACGCCGCGUGAGUGAAGAAGGGUUUCGGCUCGUAAAGCUCUGUUGGUAGUGAAGAAAGAUAGAGGUAGUAACUGGCCUUUAUUUGACGGUAAUUACUUAGAAAGUCACGGCUAACUACGUG